rnacentral:rRNA from 1 species
CCUACGGGAGGCAGCAGUGAGGAAUAUUGGUCAAUGGACGCACGUCUGAACCAGCCAUGCCGCGUGCAGGAAGACGGCUCUAUGAGUUGUAAACUGCUUUUGUACGCGGGUAAACGCAGAUACGAGUAUCUGUCUGAAAGUAUCGUCCGACUAAUGAUCGGCUACCUCCGUGCCAGCAGACGCGGUAAUACGGAGGAUUCAAGCGUUAUCCGGAUUUAUUGGGUUUAAAGGUUGCGUAGGCGGUCGGAUAAGUUAGAGGUGAACUCCCGAGGCUCAACUUCGGAAUUGCCGCUGAUACUGUUCGGCGAGAGAGUAGUUGCGGUAGGCGGAAUGUAUGGUGUAGCGGUGAAACGCUUAGAGAUCAUACAGAACACCGAUUGCGAAGGCAGCUUACCAAGCUACUUCUGACGUUGAGGCACGAAAGCGUGGGUAGCAAACAGGAUUAGAUACCCCAGUAGUC